CACCGCGGUUAUACGAGAGGCCCAAGUUGACAGACACCGGCGUAAAGCGUGGUUAAGGAAAAACUUAAACUAAAGCCGAACACCUUCAGGGCAGUUAUACGUUUCCGAAGGUACGAAGCCCCACCACGAAAGUGGCUUUAUAACCCCUGACCCCACGAAAGCUAUGGAA
rnacentral:rRNA from 1 species